AACACGUUAAACCCAGGCUUCAGAACAACAGAGACACUAAUCUUUGCUGCUUCUUAAUUCACACAGUUACUUCAGUCCAUCUACGUCGUCCGCCUCACCCGCGUAAAGAAAACCAGUCGCGCGCGCUCCCGCGUCCCGCGAUGAGAAAACCGAACAACAAAAGAACCGGUUUAUGCGCCUGACAGUCCCGAUCCCGAUCGGAUUCCCCUGCCUCCGUCGCCACUUCUCCGUCGCCGCCGCCCUUCCUCGCCUCCGCCACUGCCGCCGUUUCCCAUCUCAGCAGCCGCAGCCCUCUAUCCUCGCGUGCUCCGGCGACCCAACCAUCCACCAGGGUUCCCCUUAAGGCACUCCAAUCUCCAUGGCCAUGGAAGCCUACUACCUUCGCCGCCGCCAUCUGCACCCGCCUACGCUCGCUCCCCGUCCUCUUCCGGAUAUAGCUGCCACGGAGUUCAUUGCCCCGACCGGCAUGGCCACCACGGCCGCCAUCCUCCGCUCCCUCUCUAUCCCUGCAUCCUCCUCUGCCGGAUCCAACCGCCAUGGAGCUCGCUGCCGCAGGCUGCCGGCGCCAUCCCACCCUGAAGCUGCGUAGCGACCACGGGCUCGCGAUGGACGCGGCGGUGGCAUCCGCCGCCUCGGCGACAACCUUUUGUUGGAUCACCGGCUUGUGCAACAUGCAGGAUGCGGCUGCCCCUGGUUCUAUUGCUAGGGACCAAGAGAAAAAUUAGCUCACCAUCUUCUAUGCUGGAAAGGUGCUUGUGUUCAGCGACUUCCCAGCAGCUGACAUGGCAAAGAACUUGAUUCAGCUGGUAGCAAGGGCAAACAUGCCAUUCAGAACACCCAUGUAUCCACACCUAUUAUCGACAGCAGCAAGGUCGAAACAGUCGUGUCGGCUUCACCAAGUAGCUUGCCUGGUGCGCAGACUGUACUUAAUCUAAGUCUUCAAGCUUCAUCCUGAAAAGGCACUAACUUAGUUGUUGCCGAUUUAAAAUGAAUCAAGAAGGUCAGUCCCUAUAUUUUUGUCAUUAGCUAGCAAGCUGUUUUCCUUUAAGCUUUUAUAGAAGGAAACGGAAAGCAUUGUACUUGACCGAGAAAGGGCAGAAUUUAUGUGAUGAUACAAUGAAUGGCCUACUUGCAAGAAAUAGAUGCUGUAAAAAUUAACUUGCAGAUUCCCUUUAUCUCCCAUGUAUUAAACAUUGACCUGAUUUUGCAACAACAGAGGAUGGAUGUAUUUUAUUUUUAUGGGCUAUGUAUACAGACUCCUAGCUACUGUAUUUUUUUAUGUUGUAAGCUCGGAUUAAUGUAUGGGUCAGUAUGCCAUGUUUCUUCAGUUUUUAGUAUAUGUCAAGUACUAAGAUGUGUUGUCCCGGAGAUCA